rnacentral:rRNA from 1 species
GACGAACGCUGGCGGCGUGCUUAACACAUGCAAGUCGAGCGGUAAGGCCCUUUCGGGGGUACACGAGCGGCGAACGGGUGAGUAACACGUGGGUGACCUGCCUCUAGCUCUGGGAUAAGCCUGGGAAGCUGGGUCUAAUACCGGAUAUGACCUCGCGGUGCAUGUUGCGGGGUGGAAAGCCUUGUGCGGCUAGGGAUGGGCCCGCGGCCUAUCAGCUUGUUGGUGGGGUGANGGCCUACCAAGGCGACGACGGGUAGCCGGCCUGAGAGGGCGACCGGCCACACUGGGACUGAGACACGGGCCCAGACUCCUACGGGAGGCAGCAGUGGGGAAUCUUGCGCAAUGGGCGAAAAGCCUGACGCAGCGACGCCGCGU